AAUGCAGAGCCAGGCUUUCGAGGACUGACUCCUCCAAUUCCUUGGGAACAUGCACCGCGUCCCCAUUUCCCCCUUGUCCCAGCUUCGUGGCCUUAUGGUUUGCAUCAAAACUUCAUGCAUCAGGGAAAUGCCCGAUUCCAGCCCAACAAACCUUUCUAUACUCAAGACAGAUGUGCCACCCGUCGGUGUAGAGAGCGUUGUCCCCACCCACCAAGAGGAAACGUGUCGGAGUAAUGCGAGUCCAUUUUCUUUCAGCUGGUCUACCGAUGCACAGCAACCAGCCAAUCCUGCUGUCUCAAGGGUAUCCGUACCUCAAUGUCAGUUACAUUCAGCAGAAAAAGUGACAUUUAAUGGAAAGCAAAACAAAUCAGGUCCUGAUUUAAAAUUUUAACACGUUUAGAUAGCUUAUUUAAAUUCUAAGACUGUUUUUACAGACUGUAUUAUUUGUAUAUAAAUAUGAACUAUAGUUUUUACUAGUAUCACCAAAUUGAGUGAUACAAAUUUCAUCUAUUUUAUUACCCUAUUUUUAAGGGAAUUUUAUGUUUUGUUUAACCUUGAUGAAUUGUAUAAAGAGAGAAUUUAAAAAAUUACAUUCUUUAUUUUCUAUUAGCUGUAUUCAUACUUUGGUUGCUUCAGACUUUAUAUAUUGUUCUUAAAAGUUAGGAAAGAAUUUCAUGUGUUUUAAAUUGUCACUUCUAUUCUUUACAGAACCUUGUAGUGCCAAAAACUUU
rnacentral:lncRNA from 1 species